AAAAAGGCAAACCCUAGGUUUGCGUGUCCAAUUUUGACUGUCCGUCUUAUAUGAAAAUUUUUUAUAAUUCGUAUUUUUAUUGUUGUUAGAUGAUAAAACAUGAUUAAUACUUUGUGCGUGACUUGUAUUUUUAAUUUUUUUCAUAUUUUUUUUAAAAAAGACGGAUGAUCAAAUAUUGGUACGGAAAUCUGGGUUUAUC
rfam:Oryza glaberrima chromosome 12 Oglab12_0187_1, whole genome shotgun sequence.